GCAAACCUCUGGGGCUGGCUGCUUGGAGCACCUCAAAAAGAAGAAGAACUGGAGCUGUAGUCACUGAAUGCCUCCUCUCUCAACUCAGGCCCAGCAUUCGGUCCACUGCGACACCUAGCUUCCUCGGAUGACCUAGUUCACCUUCCAUUUUAUAAAGGGGGAAACUAAGUCCCGAAGAGGGAAAGAUAGUCGGCCAAGAUGCCUGACGGAAACUAUGCGCUGAAGCAGGAAUAGAAGCCAGGUCUCCUGAAUCCUGUUCCUGGGCUCCCCCGUUGCUAGGGAACCUGAAGGAGGUGACGCCCCUGGUGCCCCAGUCUCGUUAACCCUGCUUUCUCCCUCCAGGGACCAGAAUAUGCCCCAGGACCAGCCCCGUGUCUCUUCCUGGCCUUCCCUCUCCCUCCAAUAAAGCUGGGAUCAGUGAGAA